UUCCCGCAGCUGCCGAGGCUGGAGCCUUA
rnacentral:sRNA from 1 species